GUUUGAUUCUGGCUCAGAUUGAACGCUGGCGGGAUGGCUUUACACAUGCAAGUCGAACGGCAGCACGGACUUCGUCUGGUGGCGAGUGGCGAACAGGUGAGUAAUGUAUCGGAACGUGCCUAGUAGCGGGGGAUAACUACGCGAAAGCGUAGCUAAUACCACAUGCGCCCUUCGGGGGAAAGCGGGGGACCUUCGGGCCUCGCACUAUUAGAGCGGCCAUUAUCGAGUUAGCUAAGUUGGUGGGGUAACGGCUCACCAAGGCGACGAUCCGUAGCUGGUUUGAAGGAGGACGACCAGCCACACUGGGACUGAGACACGGCCCGAACUCUACGGGAGGCAGCAGUGGGAAUUUUGGACAAUGGAAACCUGAUCCAGCCUACAUCCCGCGUGUGCGAUGAAGGCCUUCGGGUUGUAAAGCACUUUUGGCAGGAAAGAAACGGCACGGGAUAAUACCCCGUGCAACACAGCGUACCUGCAGAAUAAGCACCGGCUAACUACGUGCCAACAACAGCGCGGUAAUACGUAGGGUGCAAGCGUUAAUCGAGAUUUUCAGGGCGUAAAGCGUGCAUGAGCGGUUCGGAAAGAAAGAUGUGAAAUCCAGAGCUUAACUUUGGAACUGCAUUUUUUUAACUACCGAGCUAGAGUGUGUCAGAGGAGUCGAUUUCACGCGUGUAGCAGUGAAAUGCGUAGAUAUGCGGAGAACACCGGUGAUGGCGAAGGCAGCCUCCUGGGAUAACACUGACGCUCAUGCACGAAAGCGUGUGGGAGCGAACGGGUUGAAUGCCCUGGUGAUCCGCCUAAACGAUGUCAACUAGCUGUUAGGCCUUCGGGCCUUGGUAGCGCAGCUAACGCGUGAAGUUGACCUUGCAAGACUGAUCGCAAGAUUAAAACUCAAAGGAACCAAGGCGGGGACCCGCACAAGCGGUGGAUGAUGUGGAUUAAUUCGAUGCAGCAUGAAAAACCUUACCUACCCUUGACAUGUCUGGAAUCCCGAAGAGAUUUGGGAGUGCUCUAGAAACCGGAACACAGGUGCUGCAUGGCUGUCGUCAGCUCGUGUCGUGAGAUGUUGGGUUAAUCACAACGAGCGCAACCCUUAUCGUGGUGCUACGAAAGGGCACUCUAAUGAGACUGCCAGUGACAAACCGGAGGAAGGUGGGGAUGACGUCAAGUCCUCAUGGCCCUUAUAGGUAGGGCUUCACACGUCAUACAAUGGUCGGGACAGAGGGUCGCCAGCCGCGAGGGGGGGUGCAAUCCCAGAAACCCGAUCGUAGUCGGAUCAUGAUCUACCUUCGACUGCGUGAAGUCGGAAUGUAGUAAUCGCGGAUCAGCAUGUCGCGGUGAAUACGUUCCGGGUCUUGUACACCGCUUGUCUGGCGGGUGGGUUUUACCAGAAGUAGUUAAGCCUAACUAAGGAGGGCGAUUACCACGGUAAGUUCAUGACUGGGGUAGUCAUGUAACUGAGUAG
rnacentral:rRNA from 1 species